GAUGAAGAACUUAGCGAAAUGCGAUAAGUAGUGUGAAUUGCAGAAUUCCGUGAAUCUUUGAAUCUUUGAACGCACAUUGCGCCUCCUGGUAAUCCGUGAGGCAUGCCUGUCCGAGCGUCAGUAAAAAGCAACUCGGCCGCGGCUGGCGGUUGGUGAUGGAGGAAGAGCACGUCUCGUUGUCGGUCUCCCCUCCCAAAAUCAACGGCGGAAUGUCACUGGCACUCGGUGUUGUAGUAUUAUUCGCCGAUCACCCAUUGUUGUUCCUGCCGCCCAAACCCCCACAAUUCUCUUGAUUGACCUCGGAUCAGGUAGGGAUACCCGCUGAACUUAAGCAUAUCAAUAAGCGGAGGA
rnacentral:misc_RNA from 1 species